rnacentral:lncRNA from 1 species
UCGGGACUCAGCAGGAAUUUCUAAUCUAAGACGAUUCAUUGCGUAUCUGAAUUCAUACGAGUCGCAUUUCAGAAAUACCCUGGCUACUCUACACUUCCGCAAUUUGAAAACUGAUAAGGAAAAGAAAUAUAGAUUUAUAGAAAAGUGUCACUGAACUUUUUUUCAUAGAGUGAUAUACCACUGUCAGUAUAGUAAGCACAGUAUUGUGGCGCCCGUGAUAAAGCUGGUUGAUACCAAGUACUUUCGGAAUAUAUUUAUACGCUGUACGUAGGACGUUGACCAAUGAUCGAACGCAUUUUGUUGUUGGUCGUCUAGUUCGACAAACGGCAAGCACUCACACGUGACUCACACGAUAUUUUAGUCAAUUUAGUUCAUCGAUGGCACCGGCAUGCUUCUUCUGCAAUUGUUUUCCACCGCACUCAUCAUCGCCGUGAAUAAGUGGAUGCUUUUAACGCUUUCUGUCUCCACGCUAUGAACGCUAUUCUGCAGAAUGAUGAUGGGGAAAGAGAUCGAACGGGUCUGAUUUUGUAUGCGUGCUUAAUUGCGAACACGACCGAGCUUUCGACAAACCACGUGCAUUAAACUCGCCUCAAGUUUUCUGCCCCCUCGGACUCGAUGUUCAGUGCGUGUAGAAGUUACUCGGCGACGUGGAUCGUGAAAUCACAUAUGAGUUGAAAAAUUUUCUACAGUAGCCAAGUGGUCCGAACUGUAUAUAGAACGUGUGUCAGAACUAGUUACAAGUUCGGAAGGUCUAUUUUGAACAGAUACCUGGAUAUCGGAUAUUAUGCACUCGGCGGAAAGGACAGCCUCUAUCAUCCAACCAGUCCUGGAAUAAUGCUUUACACAGUAAGCACGCGUAUGGAUUUUCUUUGCAACAAGUGCUUUUAUGGACUAUAGAGUGGACUGAUAUUCAAGGAUAUACCGAUGCCGAACUCAGCGGUCCGAUGCAGCCGAUAGUCAAGGGGCCGUCUCCUCCGUUCAUAAAUCAAGGUAUGAAGCGAAAGAUUGUUUUAGACUAUUAGUAAAAGUCGCUAGGGAAGGUAAA